rnacentral:rRNA from 1 species
UGAUGCAGCACGCCGCGUGAGUGAUGAAGGUUUUCGGAUCGUAAAGCUCUGUCUUUGGGGAAGAUAAUGACGGUACCCAAGGAGGAAGCCACGGCUAACUACGUGCCAGCAGCCGCGGUAAUACGUAGGUGGCGAGCGUUAUCCGGAUUUACUGGGCGUAAAGGGAGCGUAGGCGGAUGAUUAAGUGGGAUGUGAAAUACCCGGGCUCAACUUGGGUGCUGCAUUCCAAACUGGUUAUCUAGAGUGCAGGAGAGGAGAGUGGAAUUCCUAGUGUAGCGGUGAAAUGCGUAGAGAUUAGGAAGAACACCAGUGGCGAAGGCGACUCUCUGGACUGUAACUGACGCUGAGGCUCGAAAGCGUGGGGAGCAAACAGGAUUAGAUACCCCGGUAG